UACGAAGGGUGCUAGCGUUGUUCGGAAUCACUGGGCGUAAAGCGCGCGUAGGCGGCCAAUCAAGUCAGGGGUGAAAUGCCACGGCUCAACCGUGGAACUGCCUUUGAAACUGAUUGGCUGGAAGAUGAGAGGGGAUAGCGGAAUUUCUGGUGUAGAGGUGAAAUUCGUAGAUACCAGAAGGAACACCGGUGGCGAAGGCGGCUAUCUGGCUCAUUCUUGACGCUCUGGCGCGAAAGCGUGGGGAGCGAACAGG
rnacentral:rRNA from 1 species